GCUCAAUAAUAUUUGCUGCACAUGUUAAAACUGAAGCAACAUGGAAAAGGUUAGCAUGGGUCCUGUGCAAGAAUGACGCAAAAAUGUGUGGAACAUUCCACGUUUUA